AUAAAACUCUGGAGGGAGGUACCACCUGGCAGGCAGACAGCUUGGACACAGACAGGGUAUAGGUGGGGAGUGGAUGGAGGCCUGAGCCAAAGGAGGGGUGCUUGAUCCCAGGUCGGUGAGAGCAUGAAGUUCCUGUGCCACAGACUAAGGAACCAGGUCUAUAUAUAUUACAUUAAGUUCAAACCUGGCAAGUCUCCUCCUUGACACCUACUGCUGGAUGAUGUUGGCUCUGUUACAAAUGAGAAAAUGUGAAGAUCCUCAAGUGACUUAGAGCACAAUUGCGAGGAGACAAUGAAGACAUGUCACCUGAACUUGCCUACCUAAUGUAGCCCAACAGGAGUGGUUCUGAACCAUGGACACUUUUGGUUCCCAGAGGACAUUUGCCAAUUUGUGGAGACAUUUUUGGUUGUCGCACAUAAGCCAUCUAGUGGAUGGAGGCCAAAGAUGCUGCACAUCCUGCAAUGUAUAGAAGAACCCACUCACUAUAACCAAGAAUUAUUUGGUCCAAAAUAUGAAAUCAUCAGUAGUGCCAAAGUGGAGAAACCCUGCUCUAGAGGGCUGUGGCCAUGCUUAUAAAAACAUCUCUCUCUAGAGGACCUUGUUACUGUCUUGGUAACAACAAGGGGUUCCUGUCACUAUCUAUAGCAACCAUGGAGAAGUUUUGAGCUGUCAAAAUUUCACACGAUUGAGAUCCUCUCUCCCAUCCCAGAGAAUCCAAUUAAUGUUUUAGGAGGUGGGAGAUAAACCAGAACUGAAAUAAUGUACUAUCAGCAGAUCCUCACUGUAGAAAUUCUCAAAGACUCAUGGAAGUAUUUUGGGAAGAAGGAAAUGAUUGCAAAAAAAAAAAAAAAAACCAACUGGAAUGCAAGAAGAAAAUGGUAGGAGCAUUAAAAAGGUUAAUGAUAUAUACAACAAUAACAAUGAUGUCCAAUUUAGGGAGUUAAGGAAAUAAGUUGGAACAAAGUGUCUAGACAACAGUAGCAUGUAAAUGGCACAUGGAAAUGGAGUGUGAAAGUUCUAAAUUCCUUAAAGAUAAAGCUACUCAUUGAAAUUAUAAUUUGUUAAGAUAUAUAAGCAUAUUAAAAUUUUAGGAUAAUGACUAAAAGAAUAAAGAUAAAAUAUAUAAUUUCCAAGUUAAUGAAGGGAAAAAUUCAAUGGGGGUGGAUCUCAAUCCAAAAGAAUGAGGGAAAAAGGAAAAUUUAAAACAAUUGGAGCAAUAUGAAACAAAUCACAAAAGAAGGUGGUAAAAUAAAUCCAAAUAUAUGAGUAAUCAUGAUAUAUGUAAAUAGACUAGAAUUUAUAAGUUUAAAUUAUCAGACUAGAUAAAACAUACAAAUCCAGAAUGUAUGUUCUAUAUACAAGGAAAACAUUACAAAUUAAAGAAGCAAUUAAAAGGUUUUUUUAGGGGCG